UACUCCAUGUCUGCUGUGAACAUGUACAAUUGAAGAUCUCUACAUACCUCAUGUCUGGUGUGAACAUGUACAAUUGAAGGUCUCUACAUACCUCAUGUCUGGUGUGAACAUAUACAAUUGAAGGUCUCUACAUACUCCAUGUCUGGUGUGAACAUGUACAAUUGAAGGUCUCUGCAUACUCCAUGUCUGGUGUGAACAUGUACAAUUGAAGGUCUCUACAUACUCCAUGUCUGGUGUGAACAUGUACAAUUGAAGGUCUCUACAUACCCCAUGUCUGGUGUGAACAUGUACAAUUGAAGGUCUCUACAUACUCCAUGUCUGGUGUGAACAUGUACAAUUGGAGGUCUCUACAUACCCCAUGUCUGGUGUGAACAUGUACAAUUGAAGGUCUCUACAUACCUCAUGUCUGGUGAAAAUAUGUACAAUUGAAGGUCUCUACAUACCUCAUGUCUGGUGUGAACAUGUACAAUUGAAGGUCUCUACAUACCCCAUGUCUGGUGUGAACAUGUACAAUUGAAUGUCUCAUCUUUGGAAUUGGGACACGUGGAAAGUUAGUGAUUUUUUUCAGACAGAAAUCGCAUAGUGACAAAUCACAACAAAAAAUGGAAAGCAAGAAAGUCUUGUGGCCAGCAAUGUUUUUAUGUGACCACUAAGUUGUGUUCAAAGAAAAACAAUAGUUCAUGUUUUAUUGGAACUAUGAUGCUGUCAGUCAUUUUAUGUUGAAGGCUUUAAAUAACUAUAUUUAAUUAUAAUAAGAUUAAGAUUACUUGAUAAAAGAAAUAAUGUUAUAUAGUAUUUUAAGCGCAAAAUUUACAAGUCUAUCCAAUUACUGUGUCUGUAUUAUGACAUUUUAUUUUGGAAAUGUUAAGGAAAAUAUAAUGUUAGUAAAUAUAUGUCUAUGAAUGUUGAUUUUGACAUUUGUCAAAGCUGUUUAAAUGAUGCUGCUAACUUCGACAAAAUUUAAAGAAAUGUAUUAUUUUCAUGUAAUGAGACAUGCUUCAGUUUUUUGUGGCUUAACCUGUAAUAUAGAGGUGGUAGUUACAAGAAUUGUUUAGCCAGAUGGAGAAUGUUUAUGCUAUGGCUUUGAUACUCUUAAGUGUGCCCAUUGGUGUCAGGUUUUUAUCAAGAAUAUUGUUUAUUGUCUAACAAUUUCUUGAAAAUAUUGAUUAAUUUUAGACAAAAUCAUUUAAUCUUCCUUAAAUUGUCUAUUCUGUAUUCACGACCAGUUAUUUAUUAAUUUGCAUGAAUAUGAUUUAUGAAUGACUUUUGUGUUGCUUAAAAUGCUUUAUUUGUUUUGGAACUGAGUAUUUAAAAACGAAAAUAUGAGGUGUAGGAAAAAUGGCCAAAGUUAUGAUAAUUAUUUUUUUGUUUUUGUAAAGUUUAUUAUGCUUUAUAUGUUUGUGUAUAGGCAUUUAGACGACCAGAUUAACUUGACCAAUAAUUCGUGCUCACUGUAUAUAUCGGUCAGUACAUUAGUCACUUGUAUAUAUAGCAAUUGUGAAAUGAUUGUAUUUGCAAUGUAAAUCAUGCGUUUAUUGUUGCCAUUUUGAUUUUCGCUGUUAACAUUUAUUUGUAAUAACAAUUUUCAUCAUGUACAUCUUUUAGGUGCCAGAUAAUAUAAAAAAACAUUGCUUGUGGGAAUGCUCAUUUAAAACUUUCUUAAUGAUACAGAACAACACAUUCUGAAGAGGCAAAUAUGCUUUAGGCAAUAGGAACAUCUUGUUACUAGUAUAUGUAAUGCCUUUCACUAAAUAAAGUCAAGCAACUAUUGAAAGAUUGGUUUAACUUUAUUUUGCAUUAUUUUAAGAAAAAUUAAUAUAUUCAACUUGGAAAUCAGUCAAUUGCAAAUCAAGCGAGAGUGAUGAAUAUUUUUAAGCAAGAUAGAGGGAUGUUUUUGCUUGAAAAAAAGUUGUAUCCCUUGUUAGAUAAUGAUUUUGUUCAUCUCUCAACAUAACAAGUGCAUUCAUACAGCUAUCAAAAAUAUGACACACUUAAUACUCAGCCAUCAGUUUGUAUUGGGGUUUUGUGGAAUACUUACUAAACUAAUAUACGUCUGUUCAAUGAAUUAAUAGUUAUGGUACAAUAUGAUACUCAGUGUUAAAAAACAUGUGUAAUAAAAAUAUAAUGGCAUUUAUUUGAAAUCAUAAAAUUUAGUUUUCCAUACAAUGCUUACAGUUUUGCAAUUGCGACGAUAAAGGAAAUUUUCUGCUCAAAAAAUGUCUGUUAAAGACAUGUGUAUAUUGUAGCAAUUAUAUUGUACUUGUAUUUAUAUUAUACAUGAUAAUAAUUGAUUUAUGGCUGAUGAUAGCGGCAGUUUACUAUUUGUGUAACAGUUUGACCAUAUUUCCUUAAACAUGUGAUUGUUUAUAAUGAACUGUAAUUGAAUGCAUGAUACAUUGUUGUUCUGUUGCUUAACAGCUGAAAAUAGCUUGAUGUUUGUUAAUUGUGUGAAAUGUUUCAAAUUAAUCAUAUUGAUACAUAGAAAAUAAAAUUACAUUUUGCGUUUAUUUAAAUGCAUAUCAAACAAUUGUUACCAUACAAGCAUAUUUGCAUUGAACUUAAUUGAUACUUUGAGAUGCAAUUUUUCCAUUAAUGUGUAAAUAUUUUCAUCUUUUCCAAAUGAACAUUUUGCAUUUGUAAAUAUAGGGUUUAUAUAAACUUUAUAGAAACUUAUUAAAUGCUUUAUAUAAAUUGAUUGUGUACCUCAUAUUGAUUAAAAACUCUCUUAUUUAUUGCACAGUUGUGUGUGCAUAUGUCUGACUUAUGUCUUCAUAGUCCUUAAAGUUAAAUUACUGUAAAUAGUAUUUUAUAAUAAUGUUGAAAUAUUUAUCUAAACUAUAUACAGGUUAUCUGUUAAAUUAAGUUUCAUACAUUUGCAUUGUCUAGCUAAUUAAAUUGGAGUGUUUAUAUUCUUGCCUACAUGCAGUGUAUGGUUUAGACAAAGCACAUUACACAACUCAUGUUGUUUUAUCCAUCAUUACUAACCAGUGUUAAAUCCGUAGAGGUUAAAGUAUACUAAAUAUUUCGGUUGUGCAAUGCUAUGCUCUCUAAAUAAAUCAACACCAUUUAUUGAUUUUCUAUGUGUGCAACUUAAUUCCUAUGACUUUAUUUGUGAAUAUUUAUUUGAAUGUGCGGUAGGGAAAACAUUGUUUGCUUGAAUGUUAGCAGAGUAGCUGGGGAAAAGAUUGCUGUUAAACAAUGUAAGACAGAACUCCACGCAAGAUAUGUCAUGCAUGCGAUAUGCAUGAACUAUCUUUUUAAAAUAAUUUGGAUCUGAAUUAUCUUUAACAAAUGGUAUGGUUAUGAGGGUCUCUAUGUGCAAAAUGUUGCAUUUAUUUAGUGUACAAGUUAUUGCUUAAACAUUGAAUUUGUUAUGGAAAUAAUAUAGUUUAUGUGACUUAAAGAGAUUUACAUGUUUAUGUUAGUGAUGUGUUUUUGCUGAUCCAAGUCUGUUCCUGCACACUAUUUAAAGUAGAUAACUACAAGUUAUCUCAUUUAAAUGGGAAAAGUAUUGUACUGUGAAAAAGUGUUGUGAAUUCAAAUAAAAAUACUAUGAAC